rnacentral:rRNA from 1 species
GUGGGUAGUUUGACUGGGGCGGUCUCCUCCUAAAGAGUAACGGAGGAGCACGAAGGUUGGCUAAUCCUGGUCGGACAUCAGGAGGUUAGUGCAAUGGCAUAAGCCAGCUUGACUGCGAGCGUGACGGCGCGAGCAGGUGCGAAAGCAGGUCAUAGUGAUCCGGUGGUUCUGAAUGGAAGGGCCAUCGCUCAACGGAUAAAAGGUACUCCGGGGAUAACAGGCUGAUACCGCCCAAGAGUUCAUAUCGACGGCGGUGUUUGGCACCUCGAUGUCGGCUCAUCACAUCCUGGGGCUGAAGUAGGUCCCAAGGGUAUGGCUGUUCGCCAUUUAAAGUGGUACGCGAGCUGGGUUUAGAACGUCGUGAGACAGUUCGGUCCCUAUCUGCCGUGGGCGCUGGAGAACUGAGGGGGGCUGCUCCUAGUACGAGAGGACCGGAGUGGACGCAUCACUGGUGUUCGGGUUGUCAUGCCAAUGGCACUGCCCGGUAGCUAAAUGCGGAAGAGAUAAGUGCUGAAAGCAUCUAAGCACGAAACUUGCCCCGAGAUGAGUUCUCCCUGAGACUUAAAGUCUCCUGAAGGAACGUUGAAGACGACGACGUUGAUAGGCCGGGUGUG